UAUUAUUUAUGUUCAGUUUUGGUCUAAGUUUUCAAACUUAAAGAAAACCCUAACUACUACUUAUGCAAUUAAUGGAAAGCACAGGCAUAAAGACAGAAGUGUCUAAUUCUCCUCACAGUUAUCAGAGUUCCCAUCUUACAACUUUAAGCAUUUUCAGCAGAAGCAGAAACUGGCCCAGUACCUGAUGUGUGAAGUCAAGGUAUAAGCUACACGCUAUAACAGACCGUAGAAUCAUGGCCACACCUUAUCCUGCCGGCCUCGGCCCCAUAAUCCCUGAUGCCUUCUCUGUUCUGCCUCACAGGAAGGACGAGAACCUGAGAGGCUACAGAACAACUGAGAGAAACGGCAAGCAGACAGUUGUGGAAUUUUCUGAUGCAAUCUAACUGGAUGUCUGAAUUGGGACCUAUGUGCCUUUUUGGAAGAUCUUCAGGUCGAUGACACUCAUUAUCAUAUUCUUAAGGCUGGUUACCUCGGUAACCAGGGGAAGCCUGCUUUGAGUCCUUACAUGUCUGAAGGCUGUAGACUGAUCUACACUCAACCUCCUUUCUUCAGAACCCAACAAUGUGCAUGUCGGAAGUGAUGGCUCAUGCCGGAAGUGAUGGCUCAUGCCGGAAAUGAUGGCUCAUGCCCGUCAUCUCAGCCAAUGAGAGGCUAAGGACUGAUUCAUGGCUAAGCCUCCACAGUCGGACAUUGCCUCAUUCUGGCGGUGAGACUCGGGCCUCUGUCAGGCCAAGUUUAGACAAGAGUUCCAAGGCACAACUUGACCCCCACCUCCUAAGUUUCCACCACCAACUGGAGAUCAACUGUUCCAUGCAUAAGCCUUUUGGAGACGGGGUCCAUAUUCAACCCAGGACAUCAACACCAAGAAAUGAGUCAUGUUCCAGUUUAUAGAUAAGGUAGCCAGCCUUGUCUGAUACCAUGCUGUGUACGUGUCCUGAAAUAUCACGCUGCAUCCAACAAUCCCAUGCAUCUGGCAAUCAUAGAGAAUCUUCUGAUGUUUCAUGUUUACUACCCUAGUUGCUCAACUAUGCAGCACCACAGCUAACGUGUUGGGUAGUCUCUUCAAACUCACAAAAUUCACAGACCCAGGGAAACAGUCCUAUUCACCAACAAGUCAAAGCUACCUGGGACUGGACAUCAUUCUUUUUAAGACCCAAAAUGAAGACCUUCUGUGACCUUCCAGAAUCUUCUAUUUGUGGCAUGUUCCUGGAAAGCCACAAGCCAGUAUUCUUUGUCUUCCCAAGAGCACAAAGCUAAUUCUUACACUACCAAAACAUCAGAAUCUCAUGGUUGGCUCCAGAGGUUUGGCGGUACAAUCCUGGCCACAUAACUUCCCAUUCCUCUGCUGAAGAAGGUCCCACUUAACUUAAACCAAUCUGUGCAUUUUCCAGUUUCUUGACCCUCAGUGCUGAUUCUCCCUGUGGUUUAUGGCAAAAGAAGUUGCUCAAUGACUGAGAAUCCAGAGGAGACUGUGAAACCCGGGGGAGAACCCAAGCACAACAUAGGAGGCUGGGCUCAACUAACUUGGCUUCAAGACUUCAAGCUACACAUGAAGAGUUUGAGUCACAGACCAAGGUGCUCAAGGCUGACCUUGCCUCAAGGAGGGAGGUCAACCACUUGAAUCAAGCCAGAUCCAACCACCUCCAUAGGAUCUCUUGCAUGAAGGAAGGUCUAACUGUCCCUACUAGGUCCUUUUGCAUGUCUGUCUGUGGCCCCAGUCACUUGAUUCUGUCUCAGGCAUGUGGUGGCCUUUUGUAAGCAUCCACAGAUGGGAAUUACCCUCUCUUGCUUCCUCCCUUCUAGACCACAGAACAGACAAGAAUUUCAUCUAUAGGAAGUACAGGGUCCUGAGCUAAUGGUUCCCAGGGUGCCAUUUCUACUAUAAGAGGUUUCUAUCCCAAAUCUAGCCUCUGCUGCCACCUUUGACCCGCAACCCCAAGGAUCACUUAGAAGCAUUCUAUGGCCUUCUUCUGGAGGAGACAUCUUGGGCUAUGCAGUCUUCAUGGGUUGCUGUCAUCUACUCUGAGGUCCUUGCCAGGUAAACAUUCAACAUGGGCCGAUGCCUCCAGCCAAGUGAAGCCUCUGAAAUAAAAACACACAGGCCAUGCUGCUGGGACCGGUAGCUGCUAGCUGGGGAAAGGACUCCCAUUCGUUAUUGUCCCAGAGCUGACACUGUGCCAAUCCCCACAUCUGGAAUCGAUUAGAAAGAGAGAGCCUGAAAGCCUGGGUCUCAUGACCCUGCCUGCCUGCCUUUCCAUUUAACUCUCUGGUUAGAAGUGAUAACUUGGGUCUCCAGAGUAAGUAUAGAAAGUAAAGGAAAAAAUAACUUGCAAUGGCACAGCAUCAUUAUUUCGGGCGGGGGGAGGGGCUUCAGUGAGCCUUGUAUCUAAAUAAACACUUGUUGGAGGUUGCACAUUGUGCUGUAUGUUAAUCACCGUGCUGAGCCUUAGUGAGCCCAGCCUUAUGACCUGUGUCCUUCCCAAACUUGGCAGACUCUGCCGCAUUGUCCCAGGGGCUCAGUAGAAUCUGUGCUUAUUGGAUUUGGUCCCAGAGAGAAAGAGCCUGGUGUUUGCAGACCAUAAAGGCCUCCACUUGUUGCCUUGCCUUGUCUCCUUGAAACUGCAAGCAACCAGAAAGUUCAGCAGAAGCCCGAAUAGCACCAACCCACGAUGCUGGCUGGUGUUCCUGCAGAUGACAUGAGGACCCACAACUAUCAGGGCCUACUUUGGGGCUUCUUGCUUUUGGAGAAGUGGCCCAAAGAAGAAUGAGAUGAUCCACCUUUGAGAAGACAAUGAAUCAAACCUCUCCGUGUUGAGAAUAUGCUACACCAUAGAGGGGAGGGUCAAAGAUGGAGAUUUAAUGUAAAAAGUCAGGACGGCAUUAUUUGCUCAGUUGGAAUUAGUGCAUUUAAACAUGACUUCUUUAUGCUCUUCUGAGUCUCCCAAUUUAUCAAGUACUAACAGGAACCAGAAAGCCAGCCGGAUAGACGUCUACAGUUUCUGCCUGAAGAGUUGCAGGCUACCUUGCUGACACAGCUUCCCUCUCAUUCAGAUGAUGAAUCACCUCUUCUGGGAAGAGUCUGGGACCCCUGCCCCCCUCCCUGCCCACACCAGCUGUAUGGCGUGGCAUGCGGUUGGUACUUCCCUCAGGAGCUGCUUUUGCAUAGAGCCUUGUAUUAGGCGCUGAUUUCACCGUGUGUGCGUCUGGCUCCCUAUGGGCUGAGUGCCUCCCGCCCGCCAGUCAUGACUCAGUCCUGUCUGGAAGCGGCCCUGCGGCCCACUCCAGGCUUGCUCCAGAGAGAGCUCAGACAGAUGGAAGACCCCACCAAGGCCUACUUUCUGGAGUGUGCUGACUUCUGAAAACUGCCAGAACAUUUCUUUUCAAAGGACUGACUAAUAAUAGGAUCAACUCAGCCCCUGAUGUGUGGCUGCUGCAUUAGAAAGGAAGUAACUUUUGUUGUUGCAAGACUUUGAUGCCCUAAAUGUUAAACAAUGCUACUAGUUUAACUAAUUCACAUACAUGGAACACAUAUUUGAUCAGUAAUGAAACAAAAGUAUUUGAAGUUCUUUCUUUCAGUGUGCUCAGCCACCCCUUCAUUGGGGCACUUCACUUCUUAUUUCCUGUGACUUUCCGGUGCUUUAUAGAAGUGGUGACUGCUUCGUGGAUAUGAGUCCAUCUCCAGAGGGAGCCGCAUUAGGAAAGCCCGGUCUGCCUUGCCACAGUCAGAGGAAUUGCUUCAAUAUAGAAGGUUAAGGAGGGGUCUAGACAGUCUAAGUGGAAAGAUGGAAGCAGGCUGGCUGCUGCCAGACUGUAUUUAGGAGUCCCUGAGGGCUGGGAAGAUUGCUCUGUGGGUAAAGGCACUCACCAUCAGGUCUGAAGGCUUGAGUCCCGCCUGACUUCCAUCCUUGGUACUGACAUGGUAGAAAGAGAGAAAUGACUCUUGGAAGUUGUCCUCUAACCUGAACAUGUAGCCUGUGUCAAGCACAUGCACAUAAACAAACUAGCUAACUAACUAAACUAACUAAACAAACUAACUAAACAAACUAAACUAACUAAACUAACUAAACUAACUAACUUAACUAACUUAACUAACUAACUAAAAGAAUCCCUUAUAGACUAAGGCAAUAAAGUUUGGCCUGGGCCCUAGAUCCUUGACAUGAGGGCUAGAAAAUAUCUCCUCCAAGAGGCCCCAGUAUUCAGAAAGUGAAAUACUAGUUGUAAGUUACUUAGGUGUCCAUGCAGAUGCCAGGGAUGUACUUCAGACCUAAGCAUGAAGGUCCCCUAUGCGCUCAAAUGAGUGUCUGCUUCCUUGUUGUACUUCUAGGAUUUGAACCCAGGGCCUUACGCUUGCUAGGCAAGCCCUCCACCACCAAGCUGCAUCCACAGCCUGCUCCGCUGCACUUUUAUUUUUUAUUUUUUUGUUGUUGAAAUUCUGAAUGCUUCCUCAGAGUUAGCACCUGAAAUAGGAUUGUCUGGAGAGAUCAGAGAGUCAUAGCCAGGGGACCAGGGGUGUAGCUCGCUGACUAGAAUCCCCUCUGGUGAGCCUGCGGAGCACCGUCCCAGAGAGACUUACCAAAUCAUAGAUAAGAGCUGUUCCUUAUGCUAGGAGUGGAGACAGUCUGCUGGUGAGCUCUGUCAUUUGUUUGAGACACAGUCUCUCACUGUGUAGCCCUGCCAGGCCUGGAACUUGCUAUGUGAGGUCUGCCUGCCUCUGAGGCCGGGUAAGCAACACUAAUUCACAGGACCUUGACUUUGAGGUGAAUCUGAACUUGGGCUCAGUGCCCUCUAUACUCUGGAGAACACUGGGCUACCACUUUCCUUAC